UGGAGGAGCCCGUAUUAGCAACUGCAUGCAGGACCGAGGCAGAUUUUGUGGGAUGAACAGAAUUCUUGUGGGCUGAGUGUUUUUCAAAACUUCUCUCCAAGAAUGCCUGCGACUUAAACAUUUCUUUACUAAAAGGGGAGGAGGAAUAGAAUGAUUUGCAAUGUUGAAAAAAAAAUGUUUUUCCCCUCUAGUUCUCCCCUUCCCUCCACCUUCUCUCAUAGAGGAGCAGAAGAAACCAGUGGCAAGUUGCAUGUGUCUGGAGCUACAGUGCUAUAAAUAAGUUUCUGUUCUUGUGGCAAGAACUGGCUGAGUCUUGAAAUGGAGGUUCCAGGUACCCUGAGGGGUUGCUCAGCCUCCCUGGUGUCCUUCAGGACAUGAAAGACCUCCAGGCCUGCAUGCUCUGAAGAUUCAGAAUAUUUAGAGAUCGGCAGAUGGUUAGUUGAAUUUUUUUUUACCUUUUGGGGGAAUG